rnacentral:piRNA from 1 species
UAAUAUGUAUUUAAAACAAAA